rnacentral:rRNA from 1 species
CCUACGAGUGACUGCAGUGGGGAAUAUUGGGCAAUGGACGCAAGUCUGACCCAGCAACGCCGCGUGAAGGAAGAAGGCUUUCGGGUUGUAAACUUCUUGUAAUGGGAAGGAGCAGCAGAAUGUACCCCUUGAAUAAGCCACGGCUAACUACGUGCGAGCAGCCGCGGUCAUACGUAGGGGGCAAGCGUUAUCCGGAUUUACUGGGUGUAAAGGGCGUGCAGCCGGAGAGACAAGUCAGAUGUGAAAUCCACGGGCUCAACCCGUGAACUGCAUUUGAAACUGUUGCCCUUGAGUGUCGGGGCGGUAAUCGGAAUUCCUGGUGUAGCGGUGAAAUGCGUAGAUAUAAGGAAGAACACCAGUGGCGAAGGCGGAUUACUGGACGAUAACUGACGGUGAGGCGCGAAAGCGUGGGGAGCAAACAGGAUUAGAUACCCCGGUAGUC